rnacentral:rRNA from 1 species
CUCGUAGGCGGCCUGGUCAGUGGAAAGUGAAAGCCCUCGGCUCAACCGAGGAAUAGCUUCCCAUACUGCCAGGCUAGAGGACAGGAGAGGAGAGUGGAAUACCCGGUGUAGCGGUGAAAUGCGUAGAGAUCGGGUGGAACACCAGUGGCGAAGGCGACUCUCUGGACUGUUUCUGACGCUAAGGAGACGAAAGUGUGGUAGCAAACA